AGUGAACGCUGGCGGUAGGCCUAACACAUGCAAGUCGAACGGCAGCACAGUAAGAGCUUGCUCUUACGGGUGGCGAGUGGCGGACGGGUGAGGAAUACAUCGGAAUCUACUUUUUCGUGGGGGAUAACGUAGGGAAACUUACGCUAAUACCGCAUACGACCUACGGGUGAAAGCAGGGGAUCUUCGGACCUUGCGCGAUUGAAUGAGCCGAUGUCGGAUUAGCUAGUUGGCGGGGUAAAGGCCCACCAAGGCGACGAUCCGUAGCUGGUCUGAGAGGAUGAUCAGCCACACUGGAACUGAGACACGGUCCAGACUCCUACGGGAGGCAGCAGUGGGGAAUAUUGGACAAUGGGCGCAAGCCUGAUUCAGCCAUACCGCGUGGGUGAAGAAGGCCUUCGGGUUGUAAAGCCCUCUUGUUGGGAAAGAAAAGCAGCAGGUUAAUACCCCGCUGUUCUGACGGUACCCAAAGAAUAAGCACCGGCUAACUUCGUG
rnacentral:rRNA from 1 species